UACAGAGGGUGCGAGCGUUAAUCGGAAUUACUGGGCGUAAAGGGUGCGUAGGCGGUAGAUUAAGUUAGAUGUGAAAUCCCUGGGCUUAACCUGGGAAUUGCAUUUAAGACUGGUUUGCUAGAGUAGAGUAGAGGGAAGUGGAAUUUCCGGUGUAGCGGUGAAAUGCGUAGAUAUCGGAAAGAGCAUCAGUGGCGAAGGCGGCUUCCUGGACUCAUACUGACGCUGAGGCACGAAAGCAUGGGGAGCAAACAGG
rnacentral:rRNA from 1 species